CCUAAGAUCUCUGCUCUAGGAGAGAGCAUGGCUUGAUUCAUCUUAAAAGAAUAGACUCACGGGCUCACAGAAGUCACUGCAUCCUUCUGCCUGUUACACCACCGAGAAUAAAACACAAUGACACCCCCACAAAAGAAAAAUAGACCCUAGCAAUGGAAGGAUUGAAGCUCAAGGAUGGAGACAUGAAGAUUAGGCCUGGCAACACAGCAAAAUCCCAUCUCAAAAUAAAAACUUUAAAUU